UAUCAACUUUCGAUUGUAAGAUAGAGGCUUACAAUGGUCUUAACGGGUAACGGGGAAUUAGGGUUCGACUCCGGAGAGGGAGCCUGAGAAACGGCUACCACAUCCAAGGAAGGCAGCAGGCGCGCAAAUUACCCAAUCCCGAUACGGGGAGGUAGUGACAAUAAAUACUGAUACGGGGCUCUUUCGGGUCUCGUAAUUGGAAUGAGUACAAUCUAAAUCCCUUAACGAGGAACAAUUGGAGGGCAAGUCUGGUGCCAGCAGCCGCGGUAAUUCCAGCUCCAAUAGCGUAUAUUAAAGUUGUUGCCGUUAAAAAGCUCGUAGUUGAACCUUGGACCUGGCCGAUCUGUCCUCCUAAUCGAGCGCACGGAUUCGGUCGGGUCUUUCCUUCUGGGGAGCCCUAUGCCCUUCACUGGGUGUAGUGGGGAACCAGGACUUUUACCUUGAAAAAAUUAGAGUGUUCAAAGCAGGCCUUUGCUCGAAUACAUUAGCAUGGAAUAAUAGAAUAGGACAUCGGUUCUAUUUUGUUGGUUUCUAGGACCGCUGUAAUGAUUAAUAGGGAUAGUCGGGGGCGUCUGUAUUCAAUUGUCAGAGGUGAAAUUCUUGGAUUUAUUGAAGACAAACUACUGCGAAAGCAUUCGCCAAGGAUGUUUUCAUUAAUCAGUGAACGAAAGUUAGGGGAUCGAAGACGAUCAGAUACCGUCGUAGUCUUAACCAUAAACUAUGCCGACUAGGGAUCGGACGGUGGUUUUUUUAUGCCCCGUUCGGCACCUUACGAGAAAUC
rnacentral:rRNA from 1 species